CCUACGGGUGGCAGCAGUGGGUGAUAUUGCACAAUGGGGGGAACCCUGAUGCAGCGACGCCGCGUGAGCGAAGAAGUACCUCGGUAUGUAACGCUCUAUCAGCAGGGAAGAAAAUGACGGUACCUGACUAAGAAGCCCCGGCUAAAUACGUGACAGCAUCGGCGGUAAUACGUAGGGGGCAAGCGUUAUACGGGUUUACUGGGUUUAAAGGGAGCUCAGGCGGCCUGCCAAGUCUGGUGUGAAAACCCGGGGGCCAACCCCGGGCCUGCAUUGGAAACUGGCGGGCUGGAGUGUCGGAGGGGCAGGCGGAAUUCCUAGUGUAGCGAUGAAAUGCGUAGAUAUUAGGAGGAACACCGGUGGCGAAGGCGGCCUGCUGGACGAUGACUGACGCUGAGGCUCGAAAGCGUGGGGAGCAAACAGGAUUAGAUACCCUAGUAGUC
rnacentral:rRNA from 1 species